GACGAACGCUGGCGGCGUGCUUAACACAUGCAAGUCGAACGGAAAGGCCCUGCUUUUGUGGGGUGCUCGAUUGGCGAACGGGUGAGUAACACGUGAGUAACCUGCCCUUGUCUUUGGGAUAACUUCACGAAACUGGGGCUCAAACAGGAUAGGAUCUCCUGCUCCAUGGUGGUGGUUGGAAAGUUUCGGCGGUUGGGGAUGGACUCGCGGCUUAUCAGCUUGUUGGGGGGGUAGUGGCUUACAAAGGCUUCGACGGGUAGCCGGCCUGAGAGGGUGACCGGCCACAUUGGGACUGAGAUACGGCCCAGACUCCUACGGGAGGCAGCAGUGGGGAAUAUUGCACAAUGGGCGGAAGCCUGAUGCAGCAACGCCGCGUGCGGGAUGACGGCCUUCGGGUUGUAAACCGCUGUCGCCUGUGACGAAGCGUGAGUGACGGUAAUGGGUAAAGAAGCACCGGCUAACUACGUG
rnacentral:rRNA from 1 species